rnacentral:rRNA from 1 species
GUCCACGGCCAUGCCACCCUGAACAAGCCCGAUGUCUGAUCUCGGAAGCUAAGCAGGGUCGGGCCUGGAUGGGAGAUCACCUAGGAAGACCAGAUGCUGUAGGCA